rnacentral:rRNA from 1 species
AUUGAACGCUGGCGGCAGGCCUAACACAUGCAAGUCGAGCGGAUGAAGAGAGCUUGCUCUCUGAUUCAGCGGCGGACGGGUGAGUAAUGCCUAGGAAUCUGCCUGGUAGUGGGGGACAACGUUUCGAAAGGAACGCUAAUACCGCAUACGUCCUACGGGAGAAAGCAGGGGACCUUCGGGCCUUGCGCUAUCAGAUGAGCCUAGGUCGGAUUAGCUAGUUGGUGGGGUAAUGGCCCACCAAGGCGACGAUCCGUAACUGGUCUGAGAGGAUGAUCAGUCACACUGGAACUGAGAGACGGGCCAGACUCCUACGGGAGGCAGCAGUGGGGAAUAUUGGACAAUGGGCGAAAGCCUGAUUCAGCCAUGCCGCGUGUGUGAAGAAGGUCUUCGGAUUGUAAAGCACUUUAAGUUGGGAGGAAGGGCAUUAACCUAAUACGUUAGUGUUUUGACGUUACCAGCAGAAUAAGCACCGGCUAACUUCGUGCCAGCAGCCGCCGUAAAAC